GUUUGAUCCUGGCUCAGGAUGAACGCUAGCGGCAGGCCUAAUACAUGCAAGCUGAACGGUAAAUAUUGUAGCAAUACGAUAUGAGAGUAGCGUAAGGGUGCGUAACACGUAUGCAAUCUGCCCUGUACAGGAGGAUAGCUCGGCGAAAGCCGGAUUAAUACUCCGUAAUAUUGUUGAGUGGCAUCACUUGAUAAUUAAAGUCGCAAGAUGGUACAGGAUGAGCAUGCGUCUGAUUAGCUAGUUAGUAGUGUAACGGACUACCAAGGCGAUGAUCAGUAGGGGAACUGAGAGGUUGAUCCCCCACACUGGCACUGAGAUACGGGCCAGACUCCUACGGGAGGCAGCAGUAGGGAAUAUUGGUCAAUGGAUGCAAGUCUGAACCAGCCAUGCCGCGUGCAGGAAGAAGGCCUUCUGGGUUGUAAACUGCUUUUGCCGGGGGAUAAAAUUCCCAUGCGUGGGACAUUGAAGGUACCCGGUGAAUAAGCCACGGCUAACUACGUGCCAGCAGCCGCGGUAAUACGUAGGUGGCAAGCGUUGUCCGGAUUUAUUGGGUUUAAAGGGUGCGUAGGCGGCCUAUUAAGUCAGUUCUGAAAUAUCCCGGCUUAACCGGGAGGGUGGGAUUGAUACUGAUGGGCUUGAGUGGAGUCGAGGUAGGCGGAAUUGACGGUGUAGCGGUGAAAUGCUUAGAUAUCGUCAAGAACACCGAUAGUGUAGACAGCUUACUAGACUUCAACUGACGCUGAGGCACGAAAGUGUGGGGAUCAAACAGGAUUAGAUACCCUGGUAGUCCACACUGUAAACGUUGAUUACUCGCUGUGUGCGAUAUACAGUACGCGGCUUAGCGAAAGCGAUAAGUAAUCCACCUGGGGAGUACGCCGGCAACGGUGAAACUCAAAGGAAUUGACG
rnacentral:rRNA from 1 species